CUGGGUGAAUGUCUAGUAGAAAAAGAAAUGAAUAACACAAGUCAUUGAGAAGGUUUAUUUUGGAGACUUCUCUAGAGUUUGGAGGUAAAGUGUAUAAAGAGCGGAGUGAUGCAAGGAUGGAGGCGGCGGAGACGACUCUAGUAUUUCAUUGCUUCAGCCUUCCUCUAUGACCAGGCUGGCUUUAAUUAAUUUAUUUUCUCUUUUCACAUUGUUAAGCUGCUGCCAGAGGUCUGUGCAUGUCGCCACUAGGGAAAGUAGAAAAGAAGAGACGUGGUCAGGCAGUGGCAAUUGGCUUAUAUAAUAAUAAUAACAAUAGUAUUUAUUUAUCGUCGUCCGUUAUUCGCUUAAGACUUGGGUGAUGGAAUCCUGUGGAGCAAGUCUGUUUUCUACUUCAACACCACUGCGAACACCACUACCAUUUCCUUCUGCUCCUAGAUACCAACAGCAUCACCACCACCGACAUCGGACUAACCUCGCAUCUCUGCUUCAAGACACUGGCUGGAGGAAUAUGUUGCUAUGGAUGCUACUGCUGUUUCUUUUCUUCCCUUCGACCUGCUUCCUUCAGCAGGCUCUUGCAGAAGUCAUAUAUCAAGAUUAUGUGUCAUGGACCCCUCCAUUACAAAUUCGAGGUUACCAUUUGUUCCCUGAUUCACAGCUGUUAGAAUUCACUGUUCCAGAAGCAUCCACACAGAGUAUAUGGAAGUUCCAAAGUUUCUCAGAUAAAGCCAGUUGCGAAGUUAAGCAGGUUUACAUUUUUUUACAGUAUGGCAGUUUUCCUAUCAUCAACCUCACCAACAAAACAUUUCCAAAUACAUUCUACUUAAAACGAACAUUUUCCGAGCGUUUCAUCUUACGUUCUGACAACAGGACAACUGUCAUUAAUAUGGAUGCACCAAGACAUGGACCAUGGUUUGCAGCUGCACUUUUACCAAACCCCAAUGAAAAAAUACAACAGAAGGGUAUCCUCACCAAAUGUAAAUACUCUGUACGUGGUAUGUUGGUCACUCAGACGAGGAAAGGUUAUGGACAAGCUGUGGCCAAUACAAUUGUUACAACAACAUUAAUGCAUGGUUUUGAGUCCAAGAUGAAAUACUAUAAAAUUGUCCUCCCUCCUCUGAGCUACCUGUACUAUUUUUCUGUACUCAACUGUACCGUUGACUCGGUGGACACUGGAGGAUGUCCUAUCUAUGUAUCCAUCGGCAACGGUAACAUGCCACCUUUUGAUGUCGAUGAGUUUCUCAUCAACUGUACAAAUUCUACGGAGAACUGUCACCUUCGAGUUGUGUCACCCAAUAGCUCAGGGUUAAACUUUGUUGCCUUCUAUCUCCGUGAUAUCAACAGUACAGCACCUGUCACUGUCACAUGGCAGGUAACCACUGAAGAAUGUGAAGCAAAGUCAUCACAUAUCUUCAUGGAGAAUUCCACAGAUGAAUCAAUGGCAGCUAACAAAAGCCAGGUGGCCUCAGAAUUUCAGUCCAAGUGUAUUAUACUUCCUAUGUUGGGACAGUUCAGUAGUGCCAGUGAGAACUUCAACAGUAUUUAUGUCUUUCCCAAUGAAUUUCUCAUGCCAAAGAGGAACAACACUUUAGUUGUUCCUGACACUCACAGUCUGAUAACUGGUUUCAAUGUCCGUUUUCUAUCCAAUUCCGGAGGUACCAUUGGUAUAACGUUGCAUUUUGAUAAACAAAAACUUUCAGAGAACCAGACUGCUACCAUCUAUAUGUGCAUUGUCAAAGAUGGUUUCCCUGAUGUUCACAAUUUAGAGAAUUGUUCCAAUGGUGCACUGCUUUCUAUUGAGUCUGCAGACGAUCAACAUCAUCAUCAAAGAAUUCAUAUACCAUAUCCAGAGUUUGGGGACUAUUAUGUAGCUUUAAUAAGUCGGUGCUACUCCAUAGAGAGAAAUCAGACUGUGGAGCCAUGUCAUACAUUUCCAACUGCACGUUUCACUAUCAUUCAAUCUCGAUGUUUAAAUGAAAAAUGUGGCCAUUAUGGUCACUGUGCUGAAUACAUUAGUGGAUUAUUUGUAUUUAGUGCAUGUCGAUGUUUUGCUGGAUGGAAAGGUUAUGUAUGUACUGAUGACACUGAUGCCAACUCUGAUAGUUUGGAACUGUUGGCGGUAAUGUUGUUAACCCUCAGUAAUGGAUUCUUCAUCCCAGCUAUCAUCUUGGCUUUCUACCGACGCUUUUACCUUGAAGGGGUUGUAUAUAUCUUCACAAUGUUCUUCUCAGCAGUGUACCACGCAUGUGAUGCCAGCAACUUGUACCAAUAUUGUAUGAUGAAAUAUGAUGUUUUGAGCUUCAGUGACUUUCUUGGUAGCUAUAUGGCAGUAUGGGUAACAUUAAUGGCCAUGGCUCGCCUGCCUGAUAAACUUCGGACAAUAUUCGAUGUGAUGGGUGCCUUGUUCUUGGCAUUAGCUGUUGACUAUGACAAACAUAGUUUACUUUUAAAUGUUGUUCCCUUAGUACUUGGUAUAGGAAUGGUCUUCUUAUCUUGGGGUUACCAAUGUCGAUUGAGGCAUCAUUGUUACCCAACGUGGCGUCGAUACGUCUUCUGCUUACUACCCGGAGUGCUACUGGCUCUGGUGGGCCUUCUUUUGUUCACACUGUUUGAGACCGAAACAAAUUAUAAAUAUGUUCACAGCAUCUGGCAUGUACUCAUUGCCACAUCAAUAGUGUUCCUGUUGCCAGGACGACGGGAACUACCAGAUGGCAGCAGUAAAGCCUGCCUAUACAUAUCCAAACUGAUUUCACUAAAAGUUCUUGGUCCUCCACCUCGUGACUGAAUAAUGAAGAAAAUAAGUCAAAUGAGUGAACUCACACAAUCUGAGAGCCGUGUGGAUAGAAGCAUAAUAACCAAAGGAUACGGAACUGGUUCAAAGAAAUGGUUGAUGUUUAACAUGAACUGCAGCAAGAAAAGAAUUUUGAUUUUCAGAGUUGGAGCUUGAUUUAUGUUGGUGAUUGAAUUGUGUAGUCUGCCUCAUUGCGCUUCAUGUGAGUUACAUACACAACUGCCUAUGAUUUUUCUAGCGAGAAACAGCAUAACUGUAGAAGAAACCAACAAGGGUUUGACAGAUAAUUCUUGAACAAUUUAAAGAAGUCUGCUGCUCAACAAUGCUGCACCAAAAUUUUGCACCAAUAUACUGCAGUUUCCUUGUUUGUUUUUUUCCCUCGAUCUCAUCUUUUCCCCCCAUCUGUUCCAUUCUUUCUAUUCUUGCUUCAGCUUGCUAACCCAGAGCAUUGGAAUCUGGUUGUCAGCCUUUCACAGAAUCUACGUGUUUCAACAUGCUUACCUUCUAGUUUGAUCCAUUUCUUCUCCUUAGAGAGUCUGUUUUGUUCUCCCUGUGCCUCAACACUUUCUCCACCUUUUCUAGGUAACCUCCAUUGCAUCUAUAUCAAAUAUUGAAAAUAAAAGUUCCUUAAAUAAAUAAG